UACAGAGGGUGCGAGCGUUAAUCGGAAUUACUGGGCGUAAAGCGCGCGUAGACGGUUUUGUAAGUCAGAUGUGAAAUCCCUGGGCUCAACCUGGGAACUGCAUUUGAUACUGCAUGGCUAGAGUAUGGAAGAGGGAAGUGGAAUUUCCGGUGUAGCGGUGAAAUGCGUAGAUAUCGGAAGGAACACCAGUGGCGAAAGCGACUUCCUGGUCCAAUACUGACGUUCAUGUGCGAAAGCGUGGGGAGCAAACAGG
rnacentral:rRNA from 1 species